UGCUUUCAAUGAUGCAAAGAAUUAUUUUACACUGAUGUUUAACUGUGAUUAACUUAAAUUGAUCACCAUCUUUCGGCUGAGAUUGCA